GGCAACUUGCCAGAGUGGUCUAAUGGGUGAGACUUGAACCACAUAUCGGGGCAAUCUCAUGGGCUCCGCCCGCACAGGUUCGAACCCUGUAGUUGUCG
rnacentral:tRNA from 1 species